CGUGUAGGCGGCUAUGCAGGUCCGCUGUGAAAACUCGAGGCUCAACCUCGAGACGUCGGUGGAAACCGCAUGGCUAGAGUCCGGAAGAGGAGAGUGGAAUUCCCGGUGUAGCGGUGAAAUGCGCAGAUAUCGGGAAGAACACCCGUGGCGAAGGCGGCUCUCUGGGACGGUACUGACGCUGAGACGCGAAAGCGUGGGGAGCGAACA
rnacentral:rRNA from 1 species